rnacentral:rRNA from 1 species
UCCGUAGGCGGUUUGGAAAGUCGGGUGUGAAAUCCUACAGCUCAACUGUGGAACUGCACUCGAAACUUCCAGACUGGAGUGUGAGAGGGGUGAAGGGAAUUCCCGGUGUAAGGGUGAAAUCUGCAGAGAUCGGGAAGAACACCAGUCGCGAAGGCGCUUCACUGGCUCACUACUGACGCUGAGGGACGAAAGCUAGGGUAGCAAACAGGAUUAGAUACCCUGGUAGUC